UUGAACGCUGGCGGAAUGCUUUACACAUGCACGUCGAGCGGCAGCACGGGGGCAACCCUGGUGGCGAGCGGCGAACGGGUGAGUAACACAUCGGAACAUGCCCAGUCGUGGGGGAUAACACUUCGAAAGAAGUGCUAAUACCGCAUACGUCCUGAGGGAGAAAGCGGGGGAUCGCAAGACCUCGCGCGAUUGGAGUGGCCGAUGUCAGAUUAGCUAGUUGGUGGGGUAAAGGCCUACCAAGGCAACGAUCUGUAGCUGGUCUGAGAGGAUGAUCAGCCACACUGGGACUGAGACACGGCCCAGACUCCUACGGGAGGCAGCAGUGGGGAAUUUUGGACAAUGGGGGCAACCCUGAUCCAGCCAUUCCGCGUGAGUGAAGAAGGCCUUCGGGUUGUAAAGCUCUUUCGGCAGGAACGAAACGGUGAGCUCUAACAUAGCUUGCUAAUGACGGUACCUGAAGAAGAAGCACCGGCUAACUACGUG
rnacentral:rRNA from 1 species